ACGCCAAACGAUACUUGCUACGCAGGCAAUGGCUACCACUGGCACUAUAGCAACACCAUGGUUUCUUAGAAGUGCAUUUCAAACCUUAUCACUCUCUCACAAUAAAACACGCAUCUCCUUUUAUGGAACCCAUUUCUCUUUCCCCCUCUCCAGUCCCAUUACCAGACACUCAGCUUUAGGGAUGUGUCAUGUGGCUCAAGCUACGAAGGGUGAAGUUGUUGCCCUUAAGGGUGUAGAAGACAAAAGCGUCAUUGAAGAAGUGAAGCGUAUUCUAGACAUGGCAAGAAGGGCAUCAAUACGAAGAGAAGUUCUCCAUACAGAUUUUCUCACCCCACCAACAUUGAAGGAAUCAUUGCAUGCGCUAGAAAAAUUAGCUGACGUUAAGGCUAUUGCUCAGGGAGGAUACCCACAGGCUGAGCGUUGCCGGCUUUCUGUUGGACAUCCAGAAACACUGACAAGUGAUCCAGAUAUAGUUGCAGCUUUGAGUAUAACAGGAAACUUUGGAUUUCAACUCUGUUCUCACGGUGACUUCCUUGGUGCAAUUCUUGGUACUGGGAUUGCCAGGAACAAGCUUGGGGAUAUAAUCUUGCUGGGGGGGAAAAGGGCUCAAGUCCUACUUGUUCCAGAUCUUGUAGACUAUAUUGUGUCAUCACUGGACAAGGUUGGUGAUGUUUCAGUUUCGUGCACACCAAUCCCAUUGCUUGCUCUUGAAUAUGAGCCUCCAAGGACUAAGUCAUUUAAAACAGUGGAAGCAUCAUUAAGAGUUGAUGCCCUAGCAAGUGCAGGAUUCAAGAUUUCAAGGUCAAAACUAGUUGAUUUGAUUAGUAACAAGGAUGUGCGUGUGAAUUGGACCACAAUCACAAAAAACAACACUACACUAAAAACUGGAGAUGUUGUCUCAGUAAGUGGGAAAGGAAGGCUAAAGAUAGGAGAAAUAAAUACUACAAAGAAAGGGAAGUUCGCAGUUGAGCUCAUUCACUAUCUGUAAAGCCUUAGCACAAGGGUUCUAUCUGGCAAGCCAAAAAAGAGAGGGAGGAGUUCACAAUCAUAGUUGAGUAGAAGCUAGCGCACUUGUGCCUAAAGUUGACUGAGGGAGGUAAAUCUUAUGAGCAGGUAACACGACAGACACAGGUUUUCAACAUUGAGUUCCACAAAUGUCUAAACCACAGAAGACUUGUCUUUCACUUGCAGUGCAUAUAAAAUCUCUCCCCGCCAUUUAAUGUAAGUGUCACCUUGCCAAAGCCUUGCCUCACAAUCCCUUGGUCGAUUAAACUCUGAUGGGCAUUCAACGUUUCCACACAAGAAAAAGAGGGAGUAGUUAACCAGCUAUAUAUUCAAACAAAAAGUUGCCAGUGUUAGAUUCUUUAAAUUUUUUUUGUUCAAGACAGUCUUAAUAAACAGAUUACUGUACAACAUAUACAACAUAUUUUGUUUGUUUCAUUGGGAGGCCCAUGAGCUUCGGGCAGGGGUUCCUUCCAUCCUUGAUUCAAACCAGGGUCUUAAUUUUUUUUUUUAAUUUUUCAUUCGGGAUGCCCAAGUAUAAAUUUGUAGACAAAAAUCAGAGCUUUAUAAUGAGAUUUCUAGUCGAUACUGGCUUACGUAAUUUUUGACCUCAGAAAGAAUUCCAGUUGUACCGAGGCAUGAUUUUGAGUAAUAUGGUUCAGAAAUCCAACUCUUAUUGUUUGAAGAGGAGGAUA